rnacentral:rRNA from 1 species
UACGUAGGUGGCAAGCGUUAUCCGGAUUUAUUGGGCGUAAAGAGAACGCAGGCGGUCUUUUAAGUCUGAUGUGAAAGCCUUCGGCUUAACCGGAGUAGUGCAUUGGAAACUGGGAGACUUGAGUGCAGAAGAGGAGAGUGGGACUCCAUGUGUAGCGGUGAAAUGCGUAGAUAUAUGGAAGAACACCAGUGGCGAAAGCGGCUCUCUGGUCUGUAACUGACGCUGAGGUUCGAAAGCGUGGGUAGCAAACAGG